GGAAGCGUGGCCGAGUGGUCGAAGGCACCGGAUUUGAAAUCCGGCAGGCGGGCAACCGUCUCGUGGGUUCGAAUCCCACCGCUUCUG
rnacentral:tRNA from 1 species